rnacentral:lncRNA from 1 species
GGAUGAGGGCAGCUCCAUCCUCAGAAUGACCAGCAGAUGGUGGUGGAGCUUCACCGAUAGCUACACUUCCUGGGGAGGGCUUGGACGCCACCACUGCCAUACCUCAGCCCUCGAGCUCUCCAUUAGAAACAACGUAACAUUUCCUUGGCAGGCAGAUGCAGCAUUUGCUUUACAUGGAAAACACAGUUUGGAGCUGAUUUCAUCUGUUGUUGUGGUAAUUUUUAUAAUCGCAGAAGUCAGUCUGUCUGUCUGUGGCAUCUGGCACUAACAAGUCCUUGGAGUGGUGUUCAUGGCACUUCAGACCUAAGGCUCCGUUGCAUGCUGACAGAUGCUGACACAAGG